GACGAACGCUGGCGGCGUGCUUAACACAUGCAAGUCGAACGGAAAGGCCCUGCUUUUGUGGGGUGCUCGAGUGGCGAACGGGUGAGUAACACGUGAGUAACCUGCCCUUGACUUUGGGAUAACUUCAGGAAACUGGGGCUAAUACCGGAUAGGAGCUCCUGCUGCAUGGGGGGGGUUGGAAAUUUUCGGCGGUUGGGGAUGGACUCGCGGCUUAUCAGCUUGUUGGUGGGGUAGUGGCUUACCAAGGCUUUGACGGGUAGCCGGCCUGAGAGGGUGACCGGCCACAUUGGGACUGAGAUACGGCCCAGACUCCUACGGGAGGCAGCAGUGGGGAAUAUUGCACAAUGGGCGGAAGCCUGAUGCAGCAACGCCGCGUGCGGGAUGACGGCCUUCGGGUUGUAAACCGCUUUCGCCUGUGACGAAGCGUGAGUGACGGUAAUGGGUAAAGAAGCACCGGCUAACUACGUG
rnacentral:rRNA from 1 species